CACCUGCCGCUGCACUGAUUAGAGCAAAUGAUUAUGAUUCAAUCAGUGGAGUGGAACUUGACUCACAUAAUUAUCAGAAUUUAGAAAUACUCUUGUAUGUGUGUUUUCUCACACAACAACUCCAUUUACCCGGAGGCCUUGAAGAUUACUCCAGUAUUACAAUGUGUGGAAUUUUUCUAGGCGUGGUGCGCAACCUCUCGUCCUUCAUUAGACUCACCUGCUUCUCAUCUACUGACCUCAUCGGCAGCGUAUAUAAACCCCGUUUCUUCAGCGGCCCUGCCCUAAAUGGUGCACUUCAUGUGCACUUGUGUCUUCAUUGAAGCCCGUACUGCUGAAGGCUCAGGGCAGAUCACUACCCAAAAGUCCUUGUGACAGACCGAUCAGAAAGCAUAGGAGGAGUUUCGUUGACACAGGAAGCGGAGGAGUAGUUUCGAUUGCAGGUUUUAGCCAAUGACAGAUGCAUGAUAGAGAAGAGGAUUUUUAAGUCAAGCCUCUGGCUAUAGCCACAGUGAAAACAACAACAAUCGGCAACAUCUUACUCUUUCCGGCAUCACAACGUUGAGUCCGUCACAUUGAUUAAUAGCACCAUCGCCCUCGUAGGAUUCACGCCUUAGAGCCCCAUAGCUGACAUCACCAAAGUGUAGACUUGGAAGAGGGCCACAAGGGCAGAGUGUGUUAUUUUGGAAAGGGCCAGCUACUUAUCGCCAGAUUGUUCCGACCUUUCAGUGCGGUCCACUGCUCUGGCUUCCUGCUGUUCACUCCCGGCUCACUUCCUGCUAUGACCAGCCCAGCCUCGUCUUCCCUGUGGCACUCCUGCUCUGCACUCAGCACUCACGUGUUCCACGUGGUGCAUUGGUUGUGCACUCGACUCGAAUCCUGACCCCAACUACACAUUAUCACAUUCCUUUCACACUCCAGCUCCCUUCAAUAGAUCCUGUUUACCUUCAGUCCUUGUGUGUUUUCUGUAUUUGGGUCCCCUGAUCUCUGUGUUCAUCAUAACAGAACAAUCUGGCCAACAUGGACCCAGCAGACCCAGCCCUGUCCCAUCAGGGCACCCACCUGGAUCAGCAUGAAUUAAAGCUCUGUGAACUCACUGAGAGCCACCAGGCCAUGCUGGACCAGCUCGGGCUCCUCACCCAGCAACUUAACAGCAUCCUGCCCUAACCGGUCCAGUCUGCCUCCUUUCCCUGUCCACCAUGGAGCGAAGCCCACGUCCCAGAUCCCGACCCCUAUGCAGGUGACCUAGGGAUAUGUAGAUCCUUAAUCCUUCAAUGUUCCCUCAUGUUUGUUCAGCAUCCUUACACCUAUGGCAAUGAUGAAGCCAGGGCAGCCUAUAUCAUGGGGCUUCUUAUGGGAGAUGCCCUAACCUGGGCCACCUGGGAUAUGCUGCCACCUCUGUGGUCCGCUCUCUUUUCCUUCACCACAGAACUUAGUAAGGUUUUCAACAACCUCAUCCAAGAGAAGGAGGCCGCCAAGCGCCUGCUUUCCCUGUGCCAGGGGCCUUGCAGUGUGGUCGAGUAUUCUGUGAAGAUCUGUGUCUUGACUGCCUAGUCUGGGUGGAAUGAGGAGGCGCUCCAGGGAGUUUUCCUGAAUGGACUCAGUGAGCAGGUGAAGGAUGAGCUUGUCAUGAAAGAUGAGUCAGAUUUCUAUUGAUUCUAUUGAAGAUUUCAGAUUUCUAUUGCCAUCCGGUUGGGUAACCACAUGCAGGAGUGGCACAGAGAGAGAGAGCCAGCCAGUCUCAAGCCGCUUCUCUUCCUCUCCAUUUGCCCACCAAUCCAGCCUCUGAGUCUCAGCCCAGUCAUUGAGUCCCUUCCAGUUCCCCCUCGUCUGCAGAAGAACCCAUGCAAGUAGGCUGGGCCUGGCUAACCCCGGCUGAGCAUGACUGCUGGUUCCAGGUUGGUGAAUGCAUCUACUGUGGCCCAUCAGGCCACUUCAUUGCCACCUGUCCUCUUAGUCCAAAGGGGGGGGAGGGGGGGCUUUCCAGUAGAAAGGGAGUUACUGGUGAGUCGAACAUCUUCCUGUCCUAUCUCCAAAUUCCAGCCACCCUGCGCCACAAACAAAUCUCCAUCCCCCUACUUGCACUGGGUGACUCAGGUGCUGAGGACAAUGUUCUGGAUCUGGAUUUAGAUUCCCAAUCUGGCCUCCCUCUGGAACCUCUGGACCACUCAAACACCCCCCCCACCCCAGGUUCUCUCGGGUAACCACCACGAGCAGGUAUUCCCUUGGUUUUGAUACACUCCUGGUUAACCAAACACAACCCCCAGAUAGACUGGUAAGCCAGAAGGGUUAGCUCUGGAGGGUUAACUGGAGCCCCUUCUGCCACUUCUCGUGUCUGAAAUCUGCCGUUCCAACCAUUACGUCCACUAAAGUACCUCCGACCCUACACCUUCCAGACCACUCAUCUGUGCCCUCCUGUGUAUCUUAACCUGAGAGAGGUCUUCCUCAAGGACCGGACCCUCUCACUAUCACCUCACCGCCCAUACGACUGCACCAUCGACCUUCUUCCUGGGGCCUCUCUGCCAUCCGGUCAACUGUACAAUCUGUCCCAUCCUGAGAGAGAGGCCAUGGAGAGAUACAUUCAUGAGGCACAAAACCCUCCAUCUUUGUACCGAUUACCAGGCCUUAACAACAUCACCAUUAAAAAUAAGUACCCGCUGCCACUCCUCAGCUCAACCACUGAGCCUCUGCAUGGAGCCACAGUGUACACCAAAUCGGACCUGUUUAAUGCAUACCGUCUGGUCAGGCUCAGAGAAUGGUACAAAUGGAAGACAUUUCUACCAUUGGGCCACUUUGAAUACUUGGUAAUGCCAUGUGACCUUAACAAUGCCCCAGCGGUCUUCUAAGCCUUAGUUAAUGACAUCCUCUGAGAUUUUACUGAACUGUUUUGUCUUCGUUUACCUGGCCGACAUGUGUUAAGCACAUCCUUCACGUCUGUCAGGUCCUUCAGAGACUGCUUGAGAACCACCUAUUUGCCAAAGCGGAGAAGUGCGGGUUCCAUGUGAACUUGGUCAGGUUCCUGGGGAUUGUCAUUAAGAAUGGCCAGGUGAGGACCGGUACAAAGAAGAUCCAGGCUGUCAUCGAGUAGCCAAGGCCUACCACCUAGAAGCAGCUUCAAUUAUUCCUGGGGUUUGCUAACUUUUAACGCUGAUUAAUUCAAGACUACAGCUGAGUCGCAGCGCCCCUCACUAGGCUCACCUCUACUUCUACUCCCUUUGUGUGGACCCCUGAGGCCGAGUAUACCGUCACCAAAAUUAUGGAACUGUUCACCUCAGCCCCCAUGUUGAUCCAGCCUAAUCAGUACCAACAAUUCAUUGUAGAGGUGGACACCUCUGACUCAGGUGUGGGUGCAGUGCCCUCCCAAUGAUCUGCCCCUGACCAGAAACUUCACCCCUGUGCCUUAUUCUCUCAUUAUCUCUCCACAGCAGAAUGCAACUAUGAUGUGAGGAAUCGUGAGUUGCUAACCAUGAAGUUAGCCUUGGGGGAGUGGAGGCACUGGCUUGAGGGGGCUGAGCAGCAUUUAUUGUAUGGACCAACCAUAAGAACUUGGCUUACAUCCAAACUGCCAAGCACCUCAACUCCCGUCAGGCAUGCUGGGACCUGCUCUUCGGGCAGUUCAACUUCAUGAUCACCUACUGUCCUGGUUCCAAGAAUGCUAAGCCCGAUGACCUCUCUCACCAGUUCACUUCAGAAGAAGAGGACACCUCUGACCCUGACACCAUCCUCUCUUUGGCCUGCAUAGUGAGGGCAGUCACAAAUGGAGAUUGAGUCCAUGGUCCGGAAAGCACAACUCACCCAACCCGACCCAGGUAAUGGGCCCCCUGGUUGCUUGUUCAUCCCCGGCAUGUUCCCAGGUCCUCCAGUGGGUUCCCUGUUCCUGGUUCACCUGCCACCCUGUUGAAAUAGAACUUCUGUUGGCAUACAAUGGACACUGACACCCGAGCCUUUGUCGCUGCCUGCACCAUACACUCCAGCUUCCUUCAAUAAAUCCUGUUUACCUUCAGUCCUCUUGUGUGUUCUGCAUUUGGGUUCCCUCGUCUCUGUGUUCAUCAUAACCAUAACCCCAACUAAGUCCAUUUUCCAAUUUCAGUUUGAGGUUGUAAUACUGUAACAUGUAGAAAAGUUCAAAAGAGGUAGAUAGUUAUGCAAGGAACUGUAUGGUAAAACAAUGAUUUGGAAAAAAUAAUUCUUGGUAAUGAACUGCAAAUCAUUGUUUUUAAGUGAUGUACACCAAUCAGCCAUAACAUUAAAACUACUGAGAGGUGAAGUGAAUAACACUGAUAAUCUCAUUACAGUGGCACAUGUCAGGGGGUGGGAGAUAUUAGGCAGCAAGUGAACAGUCACUUCUUGAAGCUGAUGUGUUGGAAGCAGAAAAAUGGGCAAACAUAAGUAUCUGAGACACUGAGACAAAGGGGCCAAAUUGUGAUGGCUAGACCACUGGGUCAGAGCAUCUCCAAAAUGGCAGGUUUUGUGGGGCGUUCCCGGCAUGCAGUGGUUAGUACCUACCAAAAACGCCCAAGGAUCAUUGAUGGAUCAUUGCCCGUCUGGUCCGAUCCUACAGAAAAGCUACUAUAGCACAAAUUGCUGAAAAACUCACUGCUGGCUAUGAUAGAAAGAUGUCAGAAAACACAGUGCAUCAGAGCUUGCAGUGCGUAGCAGCAGACUGGUCAGAGUACCCAUGUUGACCCCUGUCCACUGCCGAAAACACCUACAGUGGGCAUGUGAGCAUCAGAACUGGAUCAUGGUGCAAUGAAAGAAGGUGGCCUGGUGAAUCACGUUUUCUUUUACAUCAUGUGGACAGAAAAGUGCAUGUGAAUUGUCUACGUAGGGAAGAGAUGGCACCAGAAUGCACUAUGAGAAGGGGAACUUGAAUGAUCAGAAUGCACCAUUCAGAUCAAAACCAAUAAAUGAACAAAUAUAAGAGGACAUGUUGAUGUGUUUAUUGGUCUACUAAACUUAUUUUGUUGUAACAUGUAAUGUGGUAUGUUACCUAAAAGGUGUUUCAUACCCCUGCUCAGGUUGUCCCUUCUCUCUGAC
ensembl:lncRNA